rnacentral:rRNA from 1 species
UACGAAGGGGGCUAGCGUUGCUCGGAAUCACUGGGCGUAAAGCGCACGUAGGCGGACUUUUAAGUCAGGGGUGAAAUCCUGGAGCUCAACUCCAGAACUGCCUUUGAUACUGGAAGUCUCGAGUUCGGGAGAGGUGAGUGGAACUGCGAGUGUAGAGGUGAAAUUCGUAGAUAUUCGCAAGAACACCAGUGGCGAAGGCGGCUCACUGGCCCGAUACUGACGCUGAGGUGCGAAAGCGUGGGGAGCAAACAGG